ACAGAGGGUGCGAGCGUUAAUCGGAAUUACUGGGCGUAAAGCGCACGUAGGUGGCUGUGUAAGUCGGGUGUGAAAUCCCCGGGCUCAACCUGGGAACUGCAUUCGAGACUGCAUGGCUGGAGUACGGAAGAGGAAGGCGGAAUUCCCGGUGUAGCGGUGAAAUGCGUAGAUAUCGGGAGGAACAUCAGUGGCGAAGGCGGCCUUCUGGUCCAGUACUGACACUCAAGUGCGAAAGCGUGGGGAGCAAACAGG
rnacentral:rRNA from 1 species